AUAAGAAGCUAGAUGAAAACAGAUUUGCUGCGCGUUCCUCCUUGGUUUGUGUAACACGCUGAAUAACUACACCGCUUUCCAACGCCUGCAUAUUGUUAUUCGGGGAUCAAUAUGGAUUAUUUCCCAGGGUUAAUUUGCUUUGGCCCUGCUGCAAAUCAAAAUUCCCUCCAAAGAACCUUUGCCCCAGGGAACGUUCCCGUCCUUCGCUUGCUGGAGGUUGCAGUUUGCUGAGUGAACGUAGUAGCAGGUACUAGAAGGUUUUGUCACAUCGUAACAUAAUCUGCUUCUACUUCAGCUUCUUCUGGAAUAACUUAGUCAUCAGUCAAGCUCAAUCAUCAAGAAGUCGGGAAGGAAAAGCUGGAUGAGACUGGAGGAGAGCGGUGGCCCGGGGCGACGGCGAGAGGAGACGGGAGAACAGAGGGAGGGAUGAAGAGGAACAGAGGUGGACGGGGAGCAGAGGUGUGGUUGGGACACAGAGGAAUCCUCACUUCGCAGCAGCUGUGAACUGUGAUUAUGAGCUCCUGAGUCACGUCGCUGAAGGAUGGACGGCGAAGCCACCGGACGAAUCCUCGCCAUAAAUUUGAGUUCACAACCUGUCGGCUCCAAAGGUCACUGCUUUCGGCGCCUCGGAGGCCGACGCGUGAGGAAGCCUCGCUUCUCCAAAGCUGUCUGACGUUAUUAGAUCUGUGCUGCCUGGCUCUGAGUCACCUCUGACGCACCAAGAGAGGGUUUGAACCCCACAGCUCCACAUUAGGCUCGCUGUUGAUACUUUAUUUAUUAAUUUAUUUGAUUGUAUAAACACAUAUUUGUGCACAACAAAAAAAUUUAAGUAAAUUCACUCUUUGCUUUUCUUAGAAGUGAAUGUAAUGAUAUUAAUGCCAGUAAUUUAGACAGCUUUUUUUAUUGGACUAAACAAUAAAACCACUCA